rnacentral:rRNA from 1 species
UAAGUUUGUACUCCGUCGGCUCGAGGAUAGAACGCUGGCGGCGUGACUUAACACAUGACAAGUACAACGGAGCACCCCUGAAGGAGUUUUCGGACAACGGAAGGGAAUGCUUAGUGGCGGACGGGUGAGUAACGCGUGAGUAACCUGCCUUGGAGUGGGGAAUAACAGAUGGAAACAUCUGCUAAUACCGCAUGAAGCAGUUGGGCCGCAUGGCUCUGACUGCCAAAGAUUUAUCGCUCUGAGAUGGACUCGCGUCUGAUUAGCUAGUUGGCGGGGCAACGGCCCACCAAGGCGACGAUCAGUAGCCGGACUGAGAGGUUGGCCGGCCACAUUGGGACUGAGACACGGCCCAGACUCCUACGGGAGGCAGCAGUGGGGAAUAUUGGGCAAUGGGCGCAAGCCUGACCCAGCAACGUCGCGUGAAGGAAGAAGGCUUUCGGGUUGUAAACUUCUUUUCUCAGGGACGAAGAAAGUGACGGUACCUGAGGAAUAAGCCACGGCUAACUACGUG